AACGAACGCUGGCGGCAGGCCUAACACAUGCAAGUCGAACGCCCCGCAAGGGGAGUGGCAGACGGGUGAGUAACACGUGGGAACGUACCCUUUGGUUCGGAACAACUCCGGGAAACUGGAGCUAAUACCGAAUAAGCCCUACGGGGGAAAGAUUUAUCGCCGAAGGAUCGGCCCGCGUCGGAUUAGCUAGUUGGUGGGGUAAAAGCCUACCAAGGCGACGAUCCGUAGCUGGUCUGAGAGGAUGACCAGCCACACUGGGACUGAGACACGGCCCAGACUCCUACGGGAGGCAGCAGUGGGGAAUAUUGGACAAUGGGCGCAAGCCUGAUCCAGCCAUGCCGCGUGAGUGAUGAAGGCCUUAGGGUUGUAAAGCUCUUUCGCCAGGGACGAUAAUGACGGUACCUGGAUAAGAAGCCCCGGCUAACUUCGUGCCAGCCGCCGCCGUAACAC
rnacentral:rRNA from 1 species